UACGUAGGGUGCGAGCGUUGUCCGGAUUUAUUGGGCGUAAAGGGCUCGUAGGCGGCGUGUCGCGUCGGGAGUGAAAGCCCGUUGCUUAACGGCGGGUUGGCUUUCGGUACGGGCAUGCUGGAGUGCGGCAGGGGAGACUGGAAUUCCUGGUGUAGCGGUGGAAUGCGCAGAUUUCAGGAGGAACACCGGUGGCGAAGGCGGGUCUCUGGACAUUUCCUGACGCUGAGGCACGAAAGCCAGGGGAGCAAACGGG
rnacentral:rRNA from 1 species